rnacentral:SRP_RNA from 1 species
UUGCAGGCUAGGCCGGGGCAGUAGUCGUGCCUUGUUACCACAAAUCGGCUUUAGGGUGGGGCUGAGGCAGUUGAGAGGAUUGGACUCUUGGUAUUGGUCUCAAAUCGUACUAAGAAACUUUGUCCUGAUUGGUCGUUAGUCUUGAGAACCAGGUCAGACCCUGACGGGAGCAGCCUUAAUCAUUGUUAUCGACGCUUUUAGGGUAACGAAGUGGAGGAAAGUUUGGGGUUCACCAGUAUUGGUGUUUGAUUCCAUCUUCUGCGGCCUGCUU